CGCCCUUACGGGAGGCAGCAGCAAGGAAUUUUCGGCAAUGGGCGCAAGCUGACCGAGCAACGCCGCGUGCGGGAUGACGGCCUUCGGGUUGUAAACCGCUUUUCGGGGGGACGAUGAUGACGGUACCCCCGGAACAAGCCCCGGCUAACUCUGUGCCAGCAGCCGCGGUAAGACAGAGGGGGCGAGCGUUGUCCGGAGUCACUGGGCGUAAAGCGCGCGCAGGCGGCAACCUUAGUGUCGUGUGAAAGCCCCCGGCUCAACCGGGGGAGGCCAUGGCAAACUGGGUCGCUCGAGCUGCGGAGAGGCCCCUCGAAUUGCCGGUUGUAGCGGUGAAAUGCGUAGAGAUCGGCAGGAAGACCAAGGGGGGAAGCCAGGGGGCUGGCCGGAGGUGAACGCUGAGGCGCGACAGGUGCGGGAGCAAACCGGAUUAGAUACCCGGGUAGUGCACGCCGUAAACGAUGACCACUCGGGGUGUGGCGACUAUUGCCGUCGCGGCGCGCCCUAGCUCACGCGGUA
rnacentral:rRNA from 1 species